GUACGAAUACGAACCGUGA
rnacentral:snRNA from 1 species